CUUCAGCGAUCCCAGCCACAGCGGCCGGUCGCGGUCCUGGCCGUAGGUGGCGAGCACGGCCUGCGCCUC
rnacentral:antisense_RNA from 1 species